rnacentral:rRNA from 1 species
CCUACGGGUGGCUGCAGUGGGGAAUAUUGGACAAUGGGGGCAACCCUGAUCCAGCCAUGCCGCGUGUGUGAAGAAGGCCCUCGGGUUGUAAAGCACUUUCAGUGAGGAAGAACGCCUGGUGGUUAAUACCCAUCAGGAAAGACAUCACUCACAGAAGAAGCACCGGCUAACUCCGUGCCAGCAGCCGCGGUAAUACGGAGGGUGCGAGCGCUAAUCGGAAUUACUGGGCGUAAAGCGCGCGUAGGUGGCUUGAUAAGCCGGUUGUGAAAGCCCCGGGCUCAACCUGGGAACGGCAUCCGGAACUGUCAAGCUAGAGUGCAGGAGAGGAAGGUAGAAUUCCCGGUGUAGCGGUGAAAUGCGUAGAGAUCGGGAGGAAUACCAGUGGCGAAGGCGGCCUUCUGGACUGACACUGACACUGAGGUGCGAAAGCGUGGGUAGCAAACAGGAUUAGAUACCCUUGUAGUC